rnacentral:rRNA from 1 species
CCUACGGGAGGCAGCAGUGAGGAAUAUUGGUCAAUGGACGCAAGUCUGAACCAGCCAUGCCGCGUGCAGGAUGACGGUCCUAUGGAUUGUAAACUGCUUUUGUACGAGAAGAAACACUCCUUCGUGAAGGAGCUUGACGGUAUCGUAAGAAUAAGGAUCGGCUAACUCCGUGCCAGCAGCCGCGGUAAUACGGAGGAUCCAAGCGUUAUCCGGAAUCAUUGGGUUUAAAGGGUCCGUAGGCGGUUUAGUAAGUCAGUGGUGAAAGCCCAUCGCUCAACGGUGGAACGGCCAUUGAUACUGCUAAACUUGAAUUAUUAGGAAGUAACUAGAAUAUGUAGUGUAGCGGUGAAAUGCUUAGAGAUUACAUGGAAUACCAAUUGCGAAGGCAGGUUACUACUAAUGGAUUGACGCUGAUGGACGAAAGCGUGGGUAGCGAACAGGAUUAGAUACCCUGGUAGUCCACGCCGUAAACGAUGGAUACUAGCUGUUGGGAGCAAUUUCAGUGGCUAAGCGAAAGUGAUAAGUAUCCCACCUGGGGAGUACGUUGCAAGAAUGAAACUCAAAGGAAUUGACGG